rnacentral:tRNA from 1 species
GAAAUGAUAAAUUAUAAAGCUGCUAACUUUAGAAAAAGUAUAAAUACUUUCAUUUCU